AUCGAACGCUGGCGGCAGGCCUAACACAUGCAAGUCGAGCGGAUGAAGGGAGCUUGCUCCUGGAUUCAGCGGCGGACGGGUGAGUAAUGCCUAGGAAUCUGCCUGGUAGUGGGGGAUAACGUCCGGAAACGGGCGCUAAUACCGCAUACGUCCUGAGGGAGAAAGUGGGGGAUCUUCGGACCUCACGCUAUCAGAUGAGCCUAGGUCGGAUUAGCUAGUUGGUGGGGUAAAGGCCUACCAAGGCGACGAUCCGUAACUGGUCUGAGAGGAUGAUCAGUCACACUGGAACUGAGACACGGUCCAGACUCCUACGGGAGGCAGCAGUGGGGAAUAUUGGACAAUGGGCGAAAGCCUGAUCCAGCCAUGCCGCGUGUGUGAAGAAGGUCUUCGGAUUGUAAAGCACUUUAAGUUGGGAGGAAGGGCAGUAAGUUAAUACCCUGCUGUUUUGACGUUACCAACAGAAUAAGCACCGGCUAACUUCGUG
rnacentral:rRNA from 1 species